AUGGAUCAGUGUGGUGCAUCUGGAGAAGAGGAUGGAGAGCAAAAUCUUUCUGCAAAGAUACGAGGUGGAAUCAGUAAAGGUGGAAUCCCUCCAGCAAAGAGGUCCAUGGACCUGGGACUACAAAGCCACAGCUUUAGCCUGACUAUUUAUAUUCACGGACGUGGGAGUUGCAUUCAGUGCUGGUUUAUGACCAUGACUGGGAUUUUCUGGAAGACUUUCAGACUUCUGCUUGUUUCAUAUUUGUCCCUGAAAACUGAAGAGGUAAACUACUUUGAGCAUGUGAUCCAUACUUGCCUGGUGAUCAUGGGACUAAGACUGGCUCUCACCCUGCUUCUGGGCCUGAUCCUGCCCUACACCGUCUGCUCAGCAUCCUGCCCUCUGCUCGGUGAGGUCCCUGAGCCCUCCUGCCCUGCUGUCACCUUGGCUCCUGCUCACCUUCCCUCAUUGCAGCAGCCAGCCAUUUGA
rnacentral:lncRNA from 1 species